UUCCAGACUCCUACGGGAGGCAGCAGUAGGGAAUAUUGCUCAAUGGGGGAAACCCUGAAGCAGCAACGCCGCGUGGAGGAUGAAGGUUUUCGGAUUGUAAACUCCUUUUGUUAGAGAAGAUAAUGACGGUAUCUAACGAAUAAGCACCGGCUAACUCCGUGCCAGCAGCCGCGGUAAUACGGAGGAUGCGAGCGUUAUCCGGAUUUAUUGGGUUUAAAGGGUGCGUAGGCGGGAUGCCAAGUCAGCGGUAAAAAUGCGGUGCUCAACGCCGUCGAGCCGUUGAAACUGGCGUUCUUGAGUGGGCGAGAAGUAUGCGGAAUGCGUGGUGUAGCGGUGAAAUGCAUAGAUAUCACGCAGAACUCCGAUUGCGAAGGCAGCAUACCGGCGCCCUACUGACGCUGAGGCACGAAAGCGUGGGUAUCGAACAGGAUUAGAUACCCCGGUACG
rnacentral:rRNA from 1 species